UACCAGCACCCCGAGUGGUCGGGACGUUUAUUGGGCCUAAAGCAUCCGUAGCCGGUUCUACGAGUCUUCCGUUAAAUCCAACUGCUUAACAGGUGGGCUGCGGAAGAUACUAUAGAGCUAGGAGGCGGGAGAGGCAAGCGGUACUCGAUGGGUAGGGGUAAAAUCCGUUGAUCCAUUGAAGACCACCAGUGGCGAAGGCGGCUUGCCAGAACGCGCUCGAUGGUGAGGGAUGAAAGCUGGGGGAGCAAACCGG
rnacentral:rRNA from 1 species